GGUUAAGCGACUAAGCGUACACGGUGGAUGCCCUGGCAGUCAGAGGCGAUGAAGGACGUGCUAAUCUGCGAAAAGCGUCGGUAAGGUGAUAUGAACCGUUAUAACCGGCGAUGUCCGAAUGGGAAACCCAGUGCAAUUCGUUGCACUAUCGUUAACUGAAUACAUAGGUUAACGAGGCGAACCGGGGAACUGAAACAUCUAAGUACCCCGAGGAAAAGAAAUCAACCGAGAUUCCCCAGUAGCGGCGAGCGAACGGGGAGCAGCCCAGAGUCUGAAUCAGCUUGUGUGUUAGUGGAACGGUCUGGAAAGUCCGACGGUACAGGGUGAUAGUCCCGUACACCAAAAUGCACAGGCUGUGAACUCGAAGAGUAGGGCGGGACACGUGGUAUCCUGUCUGAAUAUGGGGACCAUCCUCCAAGGCUAAAUACUCCUGACUGACCGAUAGUGAACCAGUACCGUGAGGGAAAGGCGAAAAGAACCCCGGCGAGGGAGUGAAAAAGAACCUGAAACCGUGUACGUACAAGCAGUGGGAGCACCUUCGGGUGUGACUGCGUACCUUUGUAUAAUGGGUCAGCGACUUAUAUUCUGUAGCAAGGUUAACCGUAUAGGGAGCCGCAGGAAACCGAGUCUUAACUGGGCGUUAAGUUGCAGGGUAUAGACCCGAAACCCGGUGAUCUAGCCAUGGGCAGGUUGAAGGUUGGGUAACACUAACUGGAGGACCGAACCGACUAAUGUUGAAAAAUUAGCGGAUGACUUGUGGCUGGGGUGAAAGGCCAAUCAAACCGGGAGAUAGCUGGUUCUCCCGAAAGCUAUUUAGGUAGCGCCUCGUGAAUUCAUCUUCGGGGUAGAGCACUGUUUCGGCUAGGGGUCAUCCCGACUUACCAACCCGAUGCAAACUACGAAUACCGAAGAAUGUUAUCACGGGAGACACACGGCGGGUGCUAACGUCCGUCGUGAAGAGGGAAACAACCCAGACCGCCAGCUAAGGUCCCAAAGUCAUGGUUAAGUGGGAAACGAUGUGGGAAGGCACAGACAGCCAGGAUGUUGGCUUAGAAGCAGCCAUCAUUUAAAGAAAGCGUAAUAGCUCACUGGUCGAGUCGGCCUGCGCGGAAGAUGUAACGGGGCUAAACCAUGCACCGAAGCUGCGGCAGCGACACUAUGUGUUGUUGGGUAGGGAGCGUUCUGUAAGCCUGCGAAGGUGACCUGUGAGGGUUGCUGGAGGUAUCAGAAGUGCGAAUGCUGACAUAAGUAACGAUAAAGCGGGUGAAAAGCCCGCUCGCCGGAAGACCAAGGGUUCCUGUCCAACGUUAAUCGGGGCAGGGUGAGUCGACCCUAAGGCGAGGCCGAAAGGCGUAGUCGAUGGGAAACAGGUUAAUAUUCCUGUACUUGGUGUUACUGCGAAGGGGGACGGAGAAGGCUAUGUUAGCCGGGCGACGGUUGUCCCGGUUUAAGCAUGUAGGCUGGUUAUCCAGGCAAAUCCGGAUAAUCAAGGCUGAGGUGUGAUGACGAGGCACUACGGUGCUGAAGUAACAAAUGCCCUGCUUCCGGAAAAGCCUCUAAGCAUCAGGUAACAUCAAAUCGUACCCCAAACCGACACAGGUGGUCAGGUAGAGAAUACCAAGGCGCUUGAGAGAACUCGGGUGAAGGAACUAGGCAAAAUGGUGCCGUAACUUCGGGAGAAGGCACGCUGGUGUGUAGGUGAAGUCCCUGCGGAUGGAGCUGAGACCAGUCGAAGAUACCAGCUGGCUGCAACUGUUUAUUAAAAACACAGCACUGUGCAAACACGAAAGUGGACGUAUACGGUGUGACGCCUGCCCGGUGCCGGAAGGUUAAUUGAUGGGGUUAUCCGUAAGGAGAAGCUCUUGAUCGAAGCCCCGGUAAACGGCGGCCGUAACUAUAACGGUCCUAAGGUAGCGAAAUUCCUUGUCGGGUAAGUUCCGACCUGCACGAAUGGCGUAAUGAUGGCCAGGCUGUCUCCACCCGAGACUCAGUGAAAUUGAACUCGCUGUGAAGAUGCAGUGUACCCGCGGCAAGACGGAAAGACCCCGUGAACCUUUACUAUAGCUUGACACUGAACAUUGAGCCUUGAUGUGUAGGAUAGGUGGGAGGCUUUGAAGCGUGGACGCCAGUCUGCGUGGAGCCAACCUUGAAAUACCACCCUUUAAUGUUUGAUGUUCUAACGUUGGCCCCUGACCGGGGUUGCGGACAGUGUCUGGUGGGUAGUUUGACUGGGGCGGUCUCCUCCCAAAGCGUAACGGAGGAGCACGAAGGUUAGCUAAUCCUGGUCGGACAUCAGGAGGUUAGUGCAAUGGCAUAAGCUAGCUUGACUGCGAGCGUGACGGCGCGAGCAGGUGCGAAAGCAGGUCAUAGUGAUCCGGUGGUUCUGAAUGGAAGGGCCAUCGCUCAACGGAUAAAAGGUACUCCGGGGAUAACAGGCUGAUACCGCCCAAGAGUUCAUAUCGACGGCGGUGUUUGGCACCUCGAUGUCGGCUCAUCACAUCCUGGGGCUGAAGUAGGUCCCAAGGGUAUGGCUGUUCGCCAUUUAAAGUGGUACGCGAGCUGGGUUUAGAACGUCGUGAGACAGUUCGGUCCCUAUCUGCCGUGGGCGCUGGAGAAUUGAGGGGGCUGCUCCUAGUACGAGAGGACCGGAGUGGACGCAUCACUGGUGUUCGGGUUGUCAUGCCAAUGGCACUGCCCGGUAGCUAAAUGCGGAAGAGAUAAGUGCUGAAAGCAUCUAAGCACGAAACUUGCCCCGAGAUGAGUUCUCCUGAGACUUUAAGUCUCCUGAAGGAACGUUGAAGACGACGACGUUGAUAGGCCGGGUGUGUAAGCGCAGCGAUGCGUUGAGCUAACCGGUACUAAUGAACCGUGAGGCUUAACCUU
rnacentral:rRNA from 1 species